UCAUCGGUGAUGGAUGGGGAUGCGUCUGAUUAGCUUGUUGGCGGGGUAACGGCCCACCAAGGCUACGAUCAGUAGGGGUUCUGAGAGGAAGGUCCCCCACAUUGGAACUGAGACACGGUCCAAACUCCUACGGGAGGCAGCAGUGAGGAAUAUUGGUCAAUGGGUGAGAGCCUGAACCAGCCAAGUAGCGUGCAGGAUGACGGCCCUAUGGGUUGUAAACCGCUUUUAUAAGGGAAUAAAGUGAGCCUCGUGAGGCUUUUUGCAUGUACCUUAUGAAUAAGGACUGGCUAAUUCCGUGCCAGCAGCCGCGGUAAUACGGAAGGUUCGGGCGUUAUCCGGAUUUAUUGGGUUUAAAGGGAGCGUAGGCCGGAGAUUAAGCGUGUUGUGAAAAGUAGGUGCUCAACAUCUGCACUGCAGCGGGAACUGGUUUCCUUGAGUACGCACAAAGUGGGCGGAAUUCGUGGUGUAGCGGUGAAAUGCUUAGAUAUCACGAAGAACUCCGAUUGCGAAGGCAGCUUACUGGAGCGCAACUGACGCUGAAGCUCGAAAGUGCGGGUAUCGAACAGGAUUAGAUACCCUGGUAGUCCGCACGGUAAACGAUGGAUGCCCGCUGUUGGUCU
rnacentral:rRNA from 1 species